rnacentral:sRNA from 1 species
UCUUUCUUGGGUUACACCUUGGAUUUUAGUGCUGGGUGGCAUCUUAGAGUUUGGGCCUUUUUUUCCUCUCUUUUUUUUUUUCUUUUCUUUUCUUUUCGAGACGGAGUCUUGCUUUGUCGCCCAGGCUGGAGUGCAGUGGCGCGAUCUCGGCUCACUGCAACCUCCACCUCCCGGGUUCAAGCAGUUCUCCUGCCUCAGCCUCCUGAGUAGCUGGGAUUACAGGCACGCGCCACCACGCCCGGCCAAUUUUUGUAUUCUUAGUAGAGAUGGGGUUUCACCAUGUUAGCCAGGCUGGUCUCGAACUCUUGACUUCGUGAUCUGCCCGCCUCGGCCUCUCAAAGUGCUGGGAUUACAGGCAUGAGCCACUGCACCUGGCGGACCUUUUUUUUUUUUUUUUUUAACUUUAAAGAGAUUAUGAAACGAAUGCCUACGUCUUUCAGAAUUGGCAAUGGCCAGAGAAAGGGUACUAGCUGUUUUUCUCCUACGGUCCCUUUCCCUAUGAGAAAUCACUAAUUUUGCAGUUACCUCUGUACCCGUUUUAAUAUUGAGAUUAACAAGAGAGUGAAGCUGAGUCUGGCUUAUAAGAUAAAGACUUUCAGGAGUCUGUGGGCCCUGCUCUGUCCCAGCUCUGCCUCAGCUUCUAUUGGUGGACUUCAGCUGGCUGCACCCUCUGGGAAUAGUUUCACCUCAAACCCCAGGCCCCCAGUGCCUGACCCAGGAAGGGAGAAGCACCUUUUACCCUGAGUUUUCUCUAACCUGCCUUUUCCAUGAGUGAUUGAUACCUGGAAUUUCCACAUCCUUUUAAGACAGACUGUUAAAACCUGUAGGUUAAAUAACCGGACACAGUGACACACACCUGUAGUCAUGCUACUUGGGAGUCUGAGGUGGGAGGAUCAGUUGAGCCAGAAGUUGGAGGCUGCAGCCUGCUGUGAUCACACAUGAGAACAGCACUGCACUCCAGCGUGGGCAAUAUAGUGAGACCCUAUAUUUAAACCAAACAACCAAAAAAACUUCUGGGCUAAACAUAUCUGCAUCUGUCACAGUAACACCAACACAGAAGAUAAACACAGACCACUGUGGUAGCGUGGUUCAUCUCAUUACAUGCUGCUACGUGAUUAAAAGUGAUGGGCAUGGUUUUCUGUUUUGCAUAGACUUAGAGCCUGUACAUUCUUUCUACGAAGAUUUUUCCCAUGGGAUUUCCCCCUCAUUUACCCAAUAAUUCAUUCAUAAUAAACAGUUGUUGAACCCAGAUAAAAUACACCUGUGUCUCUUCCCAUUUGCCUAUGAGUUUCUUGCCAAGAUGUGCUACAGCAGCUCAAAGAAUGCUUGCCAAGUCACUAAUAGUCUUCGCUCUCUCUAGUUCAGUGACUUUCCGAUACUGUUUAACAUUCAGGGCACUAUGUGAACUUGUAAAUGUGGCCAUACUGCAUGUUUUAUGGUGACCUGGUCCAGUACUGCCUUUGUUAAAGCAUCUGUCAUCAGUAAGAGAUGAUAAGUUUUUUGCACAACAGUGAAAACCUCACCUUUAAGCAUAUGAUUAUGCUUAAUAAAUAUUUUAUUAAAAGGAGAAUUAAAGACCUAAAAGGGAAGAAGUUAGACUGUUCUAGUUCUGGUACUGUUGAGGCACUGAUGAGGAUAAAUGAUCAUGCAGAGGUCUCUUCAUAAUUGACCCCAAUGGAGUCAUCAAGCACUUGAGCGUCAACGAUCUCCCAGUGGGCCGAAGCGUGGAAGAAACCCUCCGUUUGGUGAAGGCGUUCCAGUAUGUAGAAACACAUGGAGAAGUCUGCCCAGCGAACUGGACACCGGAUUCUCCUACGAUCAAGCCAAAUCCAGCUGCUUCCAAAGAGUACUUUCAGAAGGUAAAUCAGUAGAUCGCCCAUGUGUAUCUGCACCUUCUCAACCCAGAGAAGAACCACAGUUGAAACCUGCUUUUAUCAUUUUCAAGAUGGUUAUUUGUAGAAGGCAAGGAACCAAUUAUGCUUGUAUUCAUAAAUAUUACUCUAAAUGUUUUGUUUUUGUAAUUCUGGCUAAGACCUUUUAAACAUGGUUGGUUGCUAGUACAAGGAAUCCUUUAUUGGUAACAUCUUGGUGGCUAGCUAGCUAGUUUCUACAGAACAUAAUUUGCCUGUAUAGAAGGCUAUUCUUAGAUCAUGUCUCAAUGAAAACACUCCUCUUUCUUAGCUUUACUUGAAUCUUGCCUAUAAUAAAGUAGAGCAACACACAUUGAAAGCUUCUGAUCAACGGUCCUGAAAUUUUCAUGUUGAAUGUCUUUGUAUUAAACU